AUAAAGGGUGCGGGGGCUACCAUGCAGUCGAACGAUGACUUCUGUGCUUGUGAUAAUGAUUAUGGGCAAAGGGGUGAGUAACACAUGAAUAUCCUGCCCUUAUUUUCCGGAUAAUCCUGGGAAAGCGGGUCUACUACCGGAUACCACCUCCUGGAGCAUGGCAUGCUGGUGGAAUUCUUUACUGGUUUUGGAUGAACUCGCGAUCUAUCAUUUUGUAGGUUGGGGUAAUGGCCCACCACGGCGACAACAGGUAGCCGGCCUGUGAGGGUGACCGGCCAACUGGGACUGAAACACGGCCCUAACUCCUACCGCAGGCAGCAGUGGGGAAUAUUGCACAAUGUGCGAAUGCCUGGUACAGGACGACCGCGUGGAGGGGAUGACGGCCUUCUGGGUUGGUAAACCAUCUUUUCAUGCAGGGUAAGAAAAAGUGACGGUACCUUGCAGAAGAAGCAGCCGGCUAACUACGUGCCAGCAGCCGCGUAAAUACGUAGGACGCAAGCGAUUAUCCGGAAUUAUUGGGCGUAAAGAGCUCGUAUGCUAGGUGUGUCGCGUCUGCUGUGAAAGCCCGGGGCUCAUCCCCGGGUCUGCAGUGGGUACAAGCGGACUAGAGUGCAGUAGGGGAGACUGGAAUUCCUGGUGUAGCGUUGCGAAAUGCGCAGAUAUCAGGAGGAACACCGAUGGAUGAAAGGACAGGUCUCUGGGCUGUAACUGACGACUUAGGAGCGAAAGCAUGGGGAGUGAGACAGGAUUAGAUGACCCUGGUAGUCCAUGCCGUAAUACGUUGGGCACUAGGUGUGGGGGACAUUCCACGUUGUUCCGCAGCCGUAGACUAACGCAUUAAGUGUCCCAGCCUGGGGAGUACGGCUCGGCAAGAGCUAAAACUCAAAGGAAUUGACGGGGGCCUCGCACAAGCGUGACGGAGCAUGCCGGCAUUAAUUCUAUGCAUACGCUGAAGAACAUUCCUUACCAAGGCUUGACAUGAACCGGUCAAGACCUGGAAACAGUGUCCCCCACUUGAUGAGCCGGUUUUACAGGACUGGUGCAUGGUUGUCGUCUACCCUCGUCGUGAGAUGAUGUGCUAAGUCACCGCAACGAGCGCAACCAUCCUGUUUAAUGUUGCCAGCGGAAUAUCUCGGGGGGUCAUAGGAGGCUGCCGGGGUCAACUAGGAGGAAGGAGGGGGGGACGUCAAAUCAUCAUCCCCGUUAUGUCUUGCGGGUCACCCAUGCUACAAUGACCGGUACAAAGGGUGGCGAUACUGUGAGGUGGAUAUAAUCCCAAAAAGCCGGUCUCAGUUCGGAUUGAGGUCUGCAACUAGACCUCAUGAAGUUGGAGUCGUUAGUAAUUGCAGAUCAGCAACGCUGCGGUGAAGAAUUCCCGGGCGUCUACACCACGCCCGUCAAGUCACGCAAGGAGUAACACCACCAGACGCUGGCUAUAACAACUGUGGAGGACGCCGACGCACGUGUUCUGCAGUU
rnacentral:rRNA from 1 species